rnacentral:tRNA from 2 species
CGUUAUGAAGCUAUUUAGCAUUAACCUUUUAAGUUAAAGAAUGAGAAUAAUUUUUCUCCAUAACGA